rnacentral:rRNA from 1 species
GAUGAACGCUGGCGGCGUGCCUAAUACAUGCAAGUCGAGCGAACGGACGAGAAGCUUGCUUCUCUGAUGUUAGCGGCGGACGGGUGAGUAACACGUGGAUAACCUACCUAUAAGACUGGGAUAACUUCGGGAAACCGGAGCUAAUACCGGAUAAUAUUUUGAACCGCAUGGUUCAAAAGUGAAAGACGGUCUUGCUGUCACUUAUAGAUGGAUCCGCGCUGCAUUAGCUAGUUGGUAAGGUAACGGCUUACCAAGGCAACGAUGCAUAGCCGACCUGAGAGGGUGAUCGGCCACACUGGAACUGAGACACGGCCCAGACUCCUACGGGAGGCAGCAGUAGGGAAUCUUCCGCAAUGGGCGAAAGCCUGACGGAGCAACGCCGCGUGAGUGAUGAAGGUCUUCGGAUCGUAAAACUCUGUUAUUAGGGAAGAACAUAUGUGUAAGUAACUGUGCACAUCUUGACGGUACCUAAUCAGAAAGCCACGGCUAACUACGUGCCAGCAGCCGCGGUAAUACGUAGGUGGCAAGCGUUAUCCGGAAUUAUUGGGCGUAAAGCGCGCGUAGGCGGUUUUUUAAGUCUGAUGUGAAAGCCCACGGCUCAACCGUGGAGGGUCAUUGGAAACUGGAAAACUUGAGUGCAGAAGAGGAAAGUGGAAUUCCAUGUGUAGCGGUGAAAUGCGCAGAGAUAUGGAGGAACACCAGUGGCGAAGGCGACUUUCUGGUCUGUAACUGACGCUGAUGUGCGAAAGCGUGGGGAUCAAACAGGAUUAGAUACCCUGGUAGUCCACGCCGUAAACGAUGAGUGCUAAGUGUUAGGGGGUUUCCGCCCCUUAGUGCUGCAGCUAACGCAUUAAGCACUCCGCCUGGGGAGUACGACCGCAAGGUUGAAACUCAAAGGAAUUGACGGGGACCCGCACAAGCGGUGGAGCAUGUGGUUUAAUUCGAAGCAACGCGAAGAACCUUACCAAAUCUUGACAUCCUUUGACAACUCUAGAGAUAGAGCCUUCCCCUUCGGGGGACAAAGUGAUAGGUGGUGCAUGGUUGUCGUCAGCUCGUGUCGUGAGAUGUUGGGUUAAGUCCCGCAACGAGCGCAACCCUUAAGCUUAGUUGCCAUCAUUAAGUUGGGCACUCUAAGUUGACUGCCGGUGACAAACCGGAGGAAGGUGGGGAUGACGUCAAAUCAUCAUGCCCCUUAUGAUUUGGGCUACACACGUGCUACAAUGGACAAUACAAAGGGCAGCGAAACCGCGAGGUCAAGCAAAUCCCAUAAAGUUGUUCUCAGUUCGGAUUGUAGUCUGCAACUCGACUAUAUGAAGCUGGAAUCGCUAGUAAUCGUAGAUCAGCAUGCUACGGUGAAUACGUUCCCGGGUCU